rnacentral:rRNA from 1 species
GGUUAAGCGAGAAAGGGCUUAUAGCGGAUGAUUUGGCAUCAGAAGGCGAUGAAGGACGCGGUUAGCAGCGAUAUGCUCUGGGGAGAUGCCAACAAUCUUUGAUCCAGAGAUUUCCGAAUGGGGAAACCCUUCCCGAUAAAAUCGGGAAAUGUUUAUCUGAAUAAACCCCGUUAGAGAUAGGUUGCCCUUAGGCAACCGUAAAUCACUAUCGUUGCCUAAAGAUAUUCUUACUUAUCUUUAGGUAUAUUAAUGCUAAUACUUUUUUAUAUCUCUAACGGGGUAAAAUAGGAUAAACAGGCGAACCCGGAGAACUGAACCAUCUUAGUAUCCGGAGGAAAAGAAAACAACAGUGAUUCCUUAAGUAGCGGCGAGCGAAAGAGGAAAAGCCUAAACCCCCACACCAACAAUUGUUGGUGUGGGGGGGUCGUGGGACUGUAAUAUGGGAUAGGAAUGGAUAGCUGAACUGGCUGGAAAGCCAGGCCAAAGAAAGUGAUAGCCUUGUAAGCAAAAUCCUGAACUACCCUAACAGUAUCCCGAGUACUACGCGAUAAGUGGAACCGCGUAGGAAUUUAGGGGAACCAUCCUCUAAGGCUAAAUACUCUCUGAUGACCGAUAGUGAACUAGUACCGUGAGGGAAAAUUGAAAAGAACCCCGGGAGGGGAGUGAAAUAGAACCUGAAACUAUAAGCCUACAAGCGGUCGGAGCUCUAUACUCGGUUCGCGAACUUCGUUCACGAACCUCGAAAUUCCAAGCACCAAGCACCAAAUUACAAAUAAUCUCCAAUGACCGAAAUUUCCAAUGACCAAAACUAAUUUGUUUUGAAUUUUUUGUUUUGAAUUUUGAAAAUUGGGAUUUGGAUAUUGGGAUUUCCGAAGGACGCAAACGAAGUUUGCGGACUGAGGUGGGGUGACGGCGUGCCUUUUGCAUAAUGAACCGGCGAGUUAUUGUAUAUAGCGAGGUUAACCCAGCACUAAUUUUUUUCAAAAUUAGUGCUGGGGAAGCCGUAGCGAAAGCGAGUCUGAACAGGGCGAUAGUUAUAUGCAUUAGACCCGAAACUGAGUGAUCUAUCCAUGGCCAGGUUGAACCCCGAGUAACAUCGGGAGGAGGACCGAACCAGUGUAGGUUGAAAACUGCUUGGAUGAGCUGUGGAUAGGGGUGAAAGGCCAAUCAAACUCAGAAAUAGCUGGUUCUCCCCGAAAUAGCUUUAGGGCUAGCCUCAUAAGUGGGUAACGGGGGUAGAGUACUAAAUGGGCUAAGGGUCCUACCAGACUACUGAACCCAAUUAAACUCCGAAUACCGUUAUCUGAAUUAUGGGAGUCAGACUGCGGGGGAUAAGCUCCGUAGUCAAAAGGGAAACAGCCCAGACCGUCAGUUAAGGUCCCUAAGUGUGAGCUAAGUGGAAAAGGAUGUGAAGUUACCAAGACAACCAGGAUGUUGGCUCAGAAGCAGCCAUCAUUUAAAGAGUGCGUAACAGCUCACUGGUCAAUUCUCCGAUGGAAUGUCGGAGAGGGUAAUUUUGCUCCGACAAUGAACGGGGCUUAAGCUCGCCACCGAAACUACGGCUCAGCACUAAUUUUUUUCAAAAUUAGUGCUGGGGGUAGGGGAGCAUUCGUCACCUUGUGAAGCUAAGCUGUAAGGCUUGGUGGAAGGUGCCGAAGAGAUUAUGCCGGUAUGAGUAGCGAAAAUUCCGAUGAGAAAUCGGAACGCCAAAAAUCUAAGGUUUCCUCCGCAAUGCUAAUCAACGGAGGGUUAGUCGAGCCUAAGCCGAGGCCGCGAGGCGUAGGCGAUGGAUAGUCUGUUAAUAUUCAGACACUACAAAAAGUGCGUUUGACGUUAAGAGUGACGCAGGAGGCUAGGUUAGCGCGCGAGUGGAUGUGCGCGUCCAAGCCUUCAACCCCGCCAUUUUAAAAAAUGGGGGGGAAACUCCAAGCACCAAUUUUCAAAAUUCCAAACAAGAAUUUUAAUUUUGGUAAUUGGUAAUUGUGAUUUGUUUGGGAUUUGGGAUUUGGAUAUUGGGAUUUCCCGACAAAAUUUUAAUUUUGGCGGGGGAGGGGUGUUAGGGAGUCCAAUCUACGGAGCGGGCGAACUAACUGAAGCCACACUGCCAAGAAAUAGCUUUUAACGGAGUGCUUUUUGUACUCGUACCUCAAACCGACACAGGUAGAUGCCUAGAAAAUAGGAAGGCGUUCGAGAUAACUCUCGUUAAGGAACUCGGCAAAAUCACCUCGUAACUUCGGGAGAAGAGGUCCCGCCUUCGUCCACCUUUGGUGGACUUCGGCGGGCGCAGUGAAGAGGCCCAGGCGACUGUUUAAUAAAAACACAGCGCUCUGCUAAAUCGUAAGAUGAUGUAUAGGGCGUGACACCUGCCCGGUGCCAGAAGGUUAAGGAGAGAUGUAGUUCGCUGAAGCCCGUAAGGGCAAAGGCGGAGAGCAUCGAACCGAAGCCCUGGUAAACGGCGGCCGUAACUAUAACGGUCCUAAGGUAGCGAAACCCCUUGUCAGGUAAGUUCUGACCUGCACGAAUGGUGUAACGAUCUGGGCGCUGUCUCAACGAGAGACUCGGUGAAAUUGUAGUAGCGGUGAAGAUGCCGCUUACCCACACCUAGACGGAAAGACCCCGUGAACCUUUACUAUACCCUGAUAUUGGAUUUUGGUUUAAUAUGUGUAGAAUAGGUGGGAGACUGUGAACCUCGCUCGUCAGGGCGAGGGGAGUCGCCAGUGAAAUACCACUCUUAUUAAAUUGAAAUUCUAAUUUACUCCGAUUAUCUCGGAGAAAGACAGUGUCAGGCGGGUAGUUUGACUGGGGCGGUUACCUCCUAAAGAGUAACGGAGGUGUCCCAAGGUUCCCUCAGUGUGCACGGAAACCACACUUAGAGUAUAAAGGCAUAAGGGAGCUUAACUGCGAGACCUACAAGUCGAGCAGAUGCGAAAGCAGGGCUUAGUGAUCCGGCGGUCCCGAAUGGACGAGCCAUCGCACACCCCACACCAGGUCCCCCCCCCCUCACACACAACACCCCA